rnacentral:rRNA from 1 species
AACGCUAGCUACAGGCUUAACACAUGCAAGUCGAGGGGCAGCAUGAACUUAGCUUGCUAAGUUUGAUGGCGACCGGCGCACGGGUGAGUAACGCGUAUCCAACCUUCCGUACACUCAGGAAUAGCCUUUCGAAAGAAAGAUUAAUACCUGAUGGUAUGAUGAGAUUGCAUGAAAUCAUCAUUAAAGAUUCAUCGGUGUACGAUGGGGAUGCGUUCCAUUAGAUAGUAGGCGGGGUAACGGCCCACCUAGUCGACGAUGGAUAGGGGUUCUGAGAGGAAGGUCCCCCACAUUGGAACUGAGACACGGUCCAAACUCCUACGGGAGGCAGCAGUGAGGAAUAUUGGUCAAUGGGCGCGAGCCUGAACCAGCCAAGUAGCGUGAAGGAUGAAGGUCCUACGGAUUGUAAACUUCUUUUAUAAGGGAAUAAAGUCACCUACGUGUAGGUGUUUGUAUGUACCUUAUGAAUAAGCAUCGGCUAACUCCGUGCCAGCAGCCGCGGUAAUACGGAGGAUCCAAGCGUUAUCCGGAUUUAUUGGGUUUAAAGGGAGCGUAGGUUGACAUAUAAGUCAGCUGUGAAAGUUUACGGCUCAACCGUGAAAUUGCAGUUGAUACUGUAUGUCUUGAGUGUACAAGAGGUGGGCGGAAUUCGUGGUGUAGCGGUGAAAUGCUUAGAUAUCACGAAGAACUCCGAUUG